AUCCAGCUGACGAGUCCCGAGUAGGACAAAACGCGCGUCAAACUGGAU
rfam:Schistosoma mansoni strain Puerto Rico chromosome W, complete genome